rnacentral:rRNA from 1 species
UACGGGGGGGGCAAGCGUUACUCGGAAUUAUUGGGCGUAAAGGGCGCGUAGGCGGUCGUGUGCGUCGGAGGUGAAAUCCCCAGGCUUAACCUGGGAACUGCCUCCGAUACGGCAUGGCUUGAGUCCGGGAGAGGGGAGCAGAAUUCCCAGUGUAGCGGUGAAAUGCGUAGAUAUUGGGAGGAACACCAGUGGCGAAGGCGGCUACCUGGACCGGUUCUGACGCUGAGGCGCGAAAGCGUGGGUAGCAAACAGG